CAAAGAAGAAUAGAUGAUCGCCGCCCACUUAGUUGUGGGGGGAGGAAAGUCCGGGCUCCACAGGACAGGAUGGUUCCUAACGGGAACCGGGGGCAACCCUAGGGAAAGUGCCACAGAGAGAAGACCGUCUGCCGAAGUUUUUGCGGAGGUGGAUAAGGGUGAAAGGGUGAGGUAAGAGCUCACCAGUUCUGGCGGUGACGUCAGAAGCUCGGUAAACCCCAUCCGGAGCAAGGUCGAAUAGAGAGACGUUUGAGGGCUGUCCGCCCGAAGUCUCUGGGUCUGGCUGCUUGAGGUCGUUGGCAACGACGAUCCUAGAUGAAUGAUCAUCGCUUUGUUGCAGGUAACUGUAAUGGAGAACAGAACCCGGCUUAAGGACUUCUUUGGCCA
rnacentral:RNase_P_RNA from 2 species